AUUGAACGCUGGCGGCAUGCCUUACACAUGCAAGUCGAACGGUAACGGGUCCUUCGGGAUGCCGACGAGUGGCGAACGGGUGAGUAAUAUAUCGGAACGUGCCCAGUAGUGGGGGAUAACUGCUCGAAAGAGCAGCUAAUACCGCAUACGACCUGAGGGUGAAAGGGGGGGAUCGCAAGACCUCGCGCUAUUGGAGCGGCCGAUAUCAGAUUAGCUAGUUGGUGGGGUAAAGGCCUACCAAGGCAACGAUCUGUAGUUGGUCUGAGAGGACGACCAGCCACACUGGGACGGAGACACGGCCCAGACUCCUACGGGAGGCAGCAGUGGGGAAUUUUGGACAAUUGGCGCAAGCCUGAUCCAGCAAUGCCGCGUGCAGGAAGAAGGCCUUCGGGUUGUAAACUGCUUUUGUCAGGGAAGAAAUCUUCUGGGCUAAUACCCCGGGAGGAUGACGGUACCUGAAGAAUAAGCACCGGCUAACUACGUGCCAGCAGCCGCGGUAA
rnacentral:rRNA from 1 species